rnacentral:rRNA from 1 species
UAAAGCGCGCGUAGGUGGUUUGUUAAGUUGGAUGUGAAAGCCCUGGGCUCAACCUAGGAACUGCAUCCAAAACUAACUCACUAGAGUACGAUAGAGGGAGGUAGAAUUCAUAGUGUAGCGGUGGAAUGCGUAGAUAUUAUGAAGAAUACCAGUGGCGAAGGCGGCCUCCUGGAUCUGUACUGACACUAAGGUGCGAAAGCGUGGGUAGCGAACAGGAUUAGAUACCCUGGUAGUCCACGCCGUAAACGAUGACAACUAGCUGUUGGGAGACAAUGUCUUUCAGUGGCGCAGCUAACGUUUUAAGUUGUCCGCCUGGGGAGUACGGCCGCAAGGCUAAAACUCAAAUGAAUUGACGGGGACCCGCACAAGCGGUGGAGCAUGUGGUUUAAUUCGAUGCAACGCGAAAAACCUUACCUACUCUUGACAUACUUGGAAGCUCUUGUAAUGAGAGUGUGCCUUUUGGAGCCAAGAUACAGGUGCUGCAUGGCUGUCGUCAGCUCGUGUCGUGAGAUGUUCCGUUAAGUCGGAUAACGAGCGCAACCCUUACCCUUAUUUGCCAGCGAUUCGGUCGGGAACUAUAAGGGGACUGCCGGUGAUAAACCGGAGGAAGGUGAGGACGACGUCAAGUCAUCAUGGCCCUUACGAGUAGGGCUACACACGUGCUACAAUGGGGAAUACAGACGGACGCUAAGCCGCGAGGUGGUGCUAAUCCUAUAAAGUUCUUCGUAGUCCGGAUUGGAGUCUGCAACUCGACUCCAUGAAGUCGGAAUCGCUAGUAAUCGCGAAUCAGCAUGUCGCGGUGAAUACGUUCUCGGGUCUUGUACACACCGCCCGUCACACCAUGGAAGUGGAUUGCACCAGAAGUAGAUAGUCUAACCUUCGGGAGGGCGUUUACCACGGUGUGCUUCAUGACUGGGGUGAAGUCGUAACAAGGUAGCCGUAGGGGAACCUGUGGCUG